AUGGCGUUGUGCGAGCGUGCUCGGCGAUCGAUAGCCAUGGGGUUGUGUCUCCCCCGGUCCAUGGAGACUAGCUGGAGAAGCAGGCCUGGACGCCUCCUAUCUCCUACCGUGGAGGCGUUGACCCGGAUACUCUGUUUCCCGGGCAGAAAUUCUUUGGUUCAUAUUCCGUUUCAUUUUCUUUGGUUCAUAUUCCGUUUUCCCGGGCUAAAAAAUUGUCAAUUUCUUUGGUUCAUAUUCCAUUGCUCCCGGGCAGAAUUUAUCGGUCGGCUUACCUCCUUGUCAAAGAUCGGGACGGUUGAUGACUGGUUCGAAAUGUUUUUUCAGAGGUUCCCGUCAGAUGAUGGCACUGAUAGCUAG
rnacentral:rRNA from 1 species